GACAACAGCAUUCAGAUGGAAAUGUUCAAAGUUGAGCUGUGUUCAAACAGGAAUGGAGAAAACUAGUUGGCUGGUUUGAGUUGUGUGUGUAAAUUAAAAACAAACAAACAAAUAAAUAAAAAAACAGUAGUUCUAAUACAGCCAUAUUCAGGACAUACCUUGGAAUGUAGCUGUGAGAAAAAAUAUUUCCAAUGAACAGAGGCAAGUGGAACACCUGGUCAUCCACUCUGUGUGGAAAGAGAAAUGGUGCGAGAAUAGAUCUGCAGACUUGGUUGACGUAAACAAAAGACACACCCUGGCAAACAAAUGGAGAAAAUGAAUUGAACCCUUCAGGACAAUAUUACCAUGAUCUCUGUUCACAAGUUUCUCUGAAGUGAAUUCUUCAAUUAAAUGAUUAAUAAUUUCAAUUGCCAGUCACCCAAGGAACAUCAUGCUUGACUACUCUUUUCAUACGAUAUAAUCAUUACUUAUGGCUAAAGCUUUCUCCUUCACUGAAUAAAAUUUAUGAUGUUUA